rnacentral:lncRNA from 1 species
CAGGAGUGUUGCCCGGGCCGCAGUGAAGGAGGCGGAGUCUGAAUAUCCUGGUGGAGAUUUUGGUUCCCCAACCUGGGGGUCUUAAAGAGACCGACUCUUGGGAUUCUUAGGAGAGGACCGGGCUCCGAGUGAGGGGUCCGUGUAUCCCGGGCGAGUCACUCUUCGAGGGGAUCACUUGAGUGAGCCGUGGUAAAGCAGUCUCCGCAGACUACACUCUAAAGAUGCUGACCGGAUGGGUGGUAUAGGAUGAAAAAGCAUUCAGAAUACAAGAAACUAAGAAGUAAUGAAACUAAAGCUGACUUAAAGGGCCAGUCGAUCUCAUUUGAGGCACACAAACCAAAAUUUCGUCCUGAAUUGAUACGACUUACGUUAUCCAUACAAGCCCACCAUUCUGGCUGGAGAAAUGGACAUUCUGAGGAAACAAGCCAACCCAGCAUUUCUAAGUAUGAGAAAACCUAAGGAAACAAUCUAAUAUCAUAAAUUUCCCACCAGACUGCUAUUUCCCAAUUGUUUAUGCUGAAUUCUGUUAAGCAUACAUAUGUGACGACUGCUCAGACGAUGACUCCCCAGGACACCCCCUCAAACGGGAAGGCAUCUGUCUGGUCUCCGUUGGAAAGCAUGCUAAAA